rnacentral:tRNA from 1 species
GAGGGUAUAGCUUAGUGGUAGAGCGUGUACUUGCUUGCACGAGGUUCUGGGUUCAACCUCCAGUACCUCCA